rnacentral:rRNA from 1 species
GACGAACGCUGGCGGCGUGCUUAACACAUGCAAGUCGAACGGAAAGGCCCUGCUUUUGUGGGGUGCUCGAGUGGCGAACGGGUGAGUAACACGUGAGUAACCUGCCCUUGACUUUGGGAUAACUUCAGGUAACUGGGGCUAAUACCGGAUAGGAGCUCCUGCUGCAUGGUGGGGGUUGGAAAGUUUCGGCGGUUGGGGAUGGACUCGCGGCUUAUCAGCUUGUUGGUGGGGUAGUGGCUUACCAGGGCUUUGACGGGUAGCCGGCCUGAGAGGGUGACCGGCCACAUUGGGACUGAGAUACGGACCAGACUCCUACGUGAGGCAACAGUGGGGAAUAUUGCACAAUGGGCGGAAGCCUGAUGCAGCAGCGCCGCGUUCGGGAUGACGGCCUUCGGGUUGUAAACCGCUUUCGCCUGUGACGAAGCGUGAGUGACGGUAAUGUGUAAAGAAGCACCGGCUAACUACGUG